UUCCUUUAGAAGAUAUUUAAAGGUAGUGCCUGCUCAAUGUAACUAAUAAAUAGCUGCGGUAUCUUAACUGCACUAAGGUAGCAUAAUUAAUUGUCUUUUAAAUGGUGACUUGUUUGAAUGGUUUAAUGAGAGAAAGGUUUUCUUUGGACUAAAAAGAAUUUAUAUUUUAAGGUUAAAAUACCUAAUUUUAUAAGAAAGACGAGAAGACCCUGUUGAGUUUGACAGUGUAAAGUUACUGUUUGAAUGGGAAAUUUAAUUUCUUUUUGAAAUUUAGUAGAUCCUCGAGUUUUCACUCUGGAAAAAGGAUAAAAUUACCACAGGGAUAACAGGACUAUUUUUCCUGAGAGUUCUAAUUGAAGGAAAUGUUUGUUACCUCGAUGUUGAAUCGAAAUAUUCUUUUUGGUGCAGCAGCCAAAAAAGUGGGUCUGUUCGACCUUUAAAAUUUC
rnacentral:rRNA from 1 species